rnacentral:tRNA from 8 species
GCGGGGGUUGCCGAGCAUGGCCAAAGGCGCAGGAUUGAGGGUCCUGUUACGUAGGUAUUCGUGGGUUCGAAUCCCAUCCCCCGCAC